rnacentral:lncRNA from 1 species
AUUUGUGGAAAGAAAGAGAUCGGUUUGAAAGGUUUUCAUAUGCAUCCUUGGAACUUUGUAAGGUUUACAUGGAAAUUUCUUCCUCUUCUGGUAGCUGUCGAGAACUCUUUGCUGCUGAGAUGCACCUGAAGAACGUACUUAAACAAGUAAAAUACCUUAUAAUUCGAUAUUUAAGACACUUACAGUUGGUAUUACAUUGACAGCAGUAAAACAAAGAAGCAACUGAAAGUUAUCUUCAUAUGAGAAUGAAAGCUUUUCAGCAGCAUAAGCCUUUCACUAUUCAAUUCCAAACAUGUUCCUCAACAUGAUAACAAAUUCGUAGACCUUUUCUGGGUCUGGAAGGAUCCUGGCAACAGUAUCUCUUUGCAUGCACUUGUUCAUCCAUGCUGAGAAUUUGGGGCACUGAUUCUCAACCUUAAAUCCCCCAAAUUCCUCAACCGCGUAAAACCAUCAAGUCAGUGGAAUGGCAAUGACAUCAACGAAUCCAAAGCUGUCCCCGCCAAAGAAAUCCUUCUCCCCUAAAGCUCCCUCAAGUUGCUUCAAAAUCUCUAUAAAUUCAUUCUUCGCCGUCUCGGGGACCUCGCCCUUGCUUUUCCAUAUGUUUGCAGACUGCAUCGAAUACCUGCCAAAAAAGUGGUGUCAUCUUUUAAGUUCGCAUUUAGAAAGAUACAAACAUUUAGACUUGAGAUUUAUAGACUGACCUUCUUGUCAAUAAAAUCUGCCCAGAACCUUGCCUUAGCUCUCUCAGAAGCACAGGAUGGGAGAAGUGAUGGCGAAGGCCAAGUCUCGUCAAUUUAGUUGACUAUAAUAGUGGAUUAACACAAUGGUUCCCCAUCGUGCAGCAAAACUGGGACUUUCUUGUAGAUGGGGUUUGAUUUGAGCAACAGGUCACUCUUGCCCCGAACAAGUUCUCAGCUCUGGCUUCAUAUCCAACUCCUUUCUCAGCCAAUGCAAUCUUUGCUCUCAAGCAAAAUGGGCUAACCCAACAGUCCAAAAGAACAACCUCUCCCUUUGACAUAUUCACUUUCUUUGUUCUUGUUUCUUUUAGUUGGUUGAUAGAGAUUAAACCUCGAGUAUCAAGGUUGGUAUUUAUAUAGGAGAAAAGAUGAAAUUCCCAAAGAUUGUGUCGCAAUCAAGGUUUGUUCGUUGGCACUUCGAUAAAGGAUGUGGCCUUGUUCUUAUCAUUUCUUAGUUUUUGAAGCUAAAUGUUUUACUUGGCUUUCAACAUGCACAAGAACAAGUUUGUCUUGUGUAAAUAAAAUAAAACCAUAAAAUUCCAUUAUUAGUGUAAAACCAAAAUAAUUAAAAUAAUAAAAGUGAGGUUAGUCGUGCGUGUGGACCUCCUCUUUAUGAGCUUGUUAUCACACCAUAUUUAGUUUCUAUAAAUAAAAUAACUAAAACUCUCUUAUCUAAGUAAGAAUAUUGUUAUUUUGAAAUACCAACUCAAUCUCUAACAAAUCUUAAGAUAUAACUUAAGAUUCUUGAGCUUCCAAUAUAAAACAAGUAAGAUUAACAUAACUUUUUCACUUCCUUCCAUCAAAGAAAGGAAUAAGUUAUAUAAUUUAAUUUAUGUUUAAUUAAAUUAUUUUAAAUGGGUAAUAAUUAUAAAAUUUUCCACUUUAUUUAAUUAACUAGAUAAGACCAUAUUGUAAAUUCUUACAUUUAUCACUUUAAUCUCUUUCCUUUUUCAUUCCAAUUCCGGUACAAACUAUUCCUUUUCAAAAAGUUGUACUCAAAUUGAUAAGUCUUGGAAGACCAAAACACUAUUUAAAAUUUAUUAUUUGUUUUAGUAGCUUUCAUGGGUGCAAGGUAAGGAACAAAACUCGGUGGAUUUUAUGACAAAAGCUUUAUCUUAUGUAGCACUUUUUUCGAUAUCUCGAACUUUACUCUUUAAGUAUGUUGUAUAAUAUUUCUACAAUAACAACAAACAAAUUAUAACCCUGAAAGAUCUAUUUACACUUCGAUCUCUAGCCAGUUCUCUACAAAAUAUGGCACUAAGCAACAAUGUAAUCGGAGCCAUCAACUUUGUUGCCGUACUUCUUUCAAUCCCAGUCAUCGGUGCCGGAAUCUGGCUUGCCACCGAGGCAGACAAUUCUUGUGUCAAGCUUCUACAAUGGCCAGUCAUUAUUUUGGGAAUCUUGAUUCUAGUCGUGGCUCUAGCAGGCUUUAUUGGAGGAUUUUGGCGCAUCCCUUGGCUCCUUAUACUUUAUCUCGUUGCCAUGCUCAUUCUUAUAAUAUUGCUGGCUUGUCUAGUUGUUUUCAUUUACAUGGUCACGAUUAAGGGCUCAGGUCACCUUGCACCGAGUAGAGCGUACUUGGAAUACCGCCUCGACGAUUUUUCUGGAUGGCUACGUAGAAGAGUUCGAAGCCCUUACAAAUGGGAUCGGAUCAAAAGCUGUCUUAGCUCGACACAGAUGUGCCCUGAGUUGAACCAGAGUUAUAGGAUGGCUCAAGAUUUCUUCAAUGCACAUAUUACCCCUUUACAGGUAAUUAUAAUAAAUUAAGUUCUCGAUUACCAUUAAUUUUAUUUUAUUCUUUACCAUUAAUUUCUAGAAAUUAAGAUUUAUUAGAACUCUAAAGUUAAAUUCUGAUUAAAAUUUUAAUUUUUAACGUACAUAUUCCUCUUUAUAAUUAUGACUGUACGUAAUUUUAUAGCAGAGAGGAUAAUUCUUACCCAUUAAUUAAGCUAACCCACACGCCCAUGGAACAAUGAAGAAGUAGCUAAUAAAGUAAAAACAGUGUAUUAGAUUCGGAAAACCAAGUUUCAAAUCUUCUUUUCAAAAAUAUUCUUCGUCUUUAUCUUUAUUGCGUGCCUUUGUGCUUUAUUUAUUUAUUUAUUUUUCUUUCUUUACAGUCUGGAUGCUGUAAGCCUCCGACAGAGUGUGGUUACACAUUUGUAAACCCAACAUAUUGGAUAAGUCCAAUUAACAAUGCGGCGGACAUGGAUUGCCUGCAGUGGAGCAAUGACCAAAUGCAGCUUUGCUAUAAUUGUGAUUCAUGCAAAGCAGGAUUACUUGCUAAUCUGAAAAAGGAGUGGAGAAGAGUAGAUAUCAUAUUACUCGUUACUCUUGUUGCUUUGAUAUGGGUUUAUCUGAUUGGAUGUUGUGCUUUUAGGAACGCCAAAACUGAAGACCUCUUUCGCAAGUACAAGCAAGGCACUUACACGUAAUUGUUAGCUGCAUGUAAACUCUCUUUGAUAGUAAUAUUAUAAUGUGUAAUUAGGGAUUGGCUUGAAUUGUUAUUUUGAUAAUUUUAUGAAUUUUUUGUUUAAGAUCCGUCUUCUUGGUUACUUACAUUUGGUUAAAUUAUGUGUGGGGUUUGAUUUGAUGACGACAUAAUCUUGAGUUGUGCGUGCGUGAUUUGUGGAGGGCGCCGAAAGUAGGUGGCUUUUGAAUAUUUGCUUUUAAGGAGAAGGGAUUUCACACUUCCGCUCCCUGCUGGCUCCCAUAGGCCAUUAAUUGUAGCUUUGAAAAAAGCUCUGCUUCAGCAUGCGCAAAAGUCAAAGAAAUGGGACAUGUGCUCAUGCAUUAUGCAGCCAGCAUAUGGGUGAUAGCAGACGUAUUUAAUCUUUUAGUCUUUGUUGACAACUCAGCCUCUCUCUCUCUCUCUCUCUCUCUAUCUCUCUCUCUGCGUCAGGGAUCUGAUUUGUGGAAAGAUAGAUAUCGGUUUAAAAGGUUUUCAUAUGCAUCCUUGGAACUUUGUAAGGUUUACAUGGAAAUUUCUUCCCCUUCCGGUAGCCGUCGAGAACUCUUUGCUGCUGAGAUGCACCUGAAGAACGUACUUAAACAAGUAAAACACCUUAUAAUUCGAUAUUUAAGACACUUACAGUUGGUUUAAAGAUUGCAUUUUCCGUUUCUGUUUUUGACUGGUUCAGGGUAAAACUUUUUCUCACUGUGUUAGAGUGCAUUUCUGUUAUUAUAUAGUUUCUUAGAAGAAAAUGCACUUUUUGGAAUCUCAGGCUGAAGGAUUUUCGGUGCUGUAACUAAUCUCAUUUGACAAUGUAAAUAUAUGGCUUCAAUUUCUUUAAAUGUAA